rnacentral:rRNA from 1 species
UACGUAGGGGGCUAGCGUUGUCCGGAAUCAUUGGGCGUAAAGCGCGUGUAGGCGGUCCGGUAAGUCCGCUGUGAAAGUCGGGGGCUCAACCCUCGAAUGCCGGUGGAUACUGUCGGGCUAGAGUGCGGAAGAGGCGAGUGGAAUUCCUGGUGUAGCGGUGAAAUGCGCAGAUAUCAGGAGGAACACCAAUUGCGAAGGCAGCUCGCUGGGACGUAACUGACGCUGAGGCGCGAAAGCGUGGGGAGCGAACAGG